rnacentral:rRNA from 1 species
GGGAGCUUGCCUUGGAUUCAGCGGCGGACGGGUGAGUAAUGCCUAGGAAUCUGCCUGGUAGUGGGGGAUAACGUCCGGAAACGGCCGCUAAUACCGCAUACGUCCUGAGGGAGAAAGUCGGGGAUCUUCGGACCUCACGCUAUCAGAUGAGCCUAGGUCGGAUUAGCUAGUUGGUGGGGUAAAGGCCUACCAAGGCGACGAUCCGUAACUGGUCUGAGAGGAUGAUCAGUCACACUGGAACUGAGACACGGUCCAGACUCCUACGGGAGGCAGCAGUGGGGAAUAUUGGACAAUGGGCGCAAGCCUGAUCCAGCCAUGCCGCGUGUGUGAAGAAGGUCUUCGGAUUGUAAAGCACUUUAAGUUGGGAGGAAGGGCAGUAAGUUAAUACCUUGCUGUUUGACGUUACCAACAGAAUAAGCACCGGCUAACUUCGUGCCAGCAGCCGCGGUAAUACGAAGGGUGCAAGCGUUAAUCGGAAUUACUGGGCGUAAAGCGCGCGUAAGUGGUUCAGCAAGCUUGAUGUGAAAUCCCCGGGCUCAACCUGGGAACUGCAUCCAAAAGCUACUGAGCUAGAGUACGGUAGAGGUGGUAGAAUUUCCUGUGUAGCGGUGAAAUGCGUAGAUAUAGGAAGGAACACCAGUGGCGAAGGCGACCACCUGGACUGUACUGACACUGAGGUGCGAAAGCGUGGGGAGCAAACAGGAUUAGAUACCCUGGUAGUCCACGCCGUAAACGAUGUCGACUAGCCGUUGGGAUCCUUGAGAUCUUAGUGGCGCACGUAACGCGAUAAGUCGACCGCCUGGGGAGUA